rnacentral:misc_RNA from 1 species
AGCAGCCGCGGUAAUUCCAGCUCCAAUAGCGUAUAUUAAAGUUGUUGCAGUUAAAAAGCUCGUAGUUGAAUUUCGAGAUCAAAUUGUUGGUCGUGCCUUGGUACGCACUGGCAUUAUUGGUUUCUCCCUUCUGACGAACCAUGAUGUCAUUAAUUUGGUGUCUUGGGGAAUCAGGACUGUUACUUUGAAAAAUUAGAGUGUUUAAAGCAGGCUCACGCUUGAAUACAUUAGCAUGGAAUAAUGAAAUAGGACGUUUGAUUCUAUUUUGUUGGUUUCUAGGAUCGACGUAAUGAUUAAUAGGGAUAGUUGGGGGCAUUAGUAUUCAAUUGUCAGAGGUGAAAUUCUUGGAUUUAUUGAAGACUAACUACUGCGAAAGCAUUUGCCAAGGAUGUUUUCAUUAAUCAAGAACGAAAGUUAGGGGAUCGAAGACGAUCAGAUACCGUCGUAGUCUUAACCAUAAACUAUGCCGACUAGGGAUCGGAUGAUGUUAAUUUUUAAUGACUCAUUCC